UACGUAGGGAGCAAGCGUUGUCCGGAAUCAUUGGGCGUAAAGCGCGCGUAGGUGGCUUCGUAAGUCCGUUGUGAAAGUCAAAGGCUCAACCUUUGAAAGCCGAUGGAUACUGCGGAGCUAGAGUACGGAAGAGGCGAGUGGAAUUCCUGGUGCAGCGGUAGAAUGCGCAGAUAUCAGGAGGAACACCAAUAGCGAAGGCAGCUCGCUGGGACGUUACUGACACUGAGGCGCGAAAGCGUGGGGAGCGAACAGG
rnacentral:rRNA from 1 species